rnacentral:rRNA from 1 species
ACGUUAUGGUGGGCACUCUAAGGAGACUGCCGGUGACAAACCGAGGAAGGUGGGGAUGACGUCAAGUCAUCAUGGCCCUUACGGCCUGGGCUACACACGUGCUACAAUGGUCGGUACAAAGGGUUGCCAAGCCGCGAGGUGGAGCUAAUCCCAUAAAACCGAUCGUAGUCCGGAUCGCAGUCUGCAACUCGACUGCGUGAAGUCGGAAUCGCUAGUAAUCGUGAAUCAGAAUGUCACGGUGAAUACGUUCCCGGGCCUU